CGAAGAAGAAUUCUAUUAUAGACAAAAGUACAUAUAUAAAAAUGACAUUAAAGGAUAUAUCAUUUAAUUAAAUCUUGUAUUUUUUUAAUCAUUUACACAAUCAAAUCCAUCGGUCACUGUUCAGCAAUAGCAAUAGCAACAGCUUCAUCAGAAAAUUCACGGUGGGGAAAUAAUCACUUCAACCGCAACAAUUGCCUCGUGUCUGCGUCGGAGACGAGCUCGGAGGUGAACCAGGAGUUGAGCUCGGAGAUGGCGAGGACAGCGCAGACGACGACCUAGCGCGAGGCCGGCGGUGACGAGGGCUGGGCGCGCAGGAGGCGAGACGGCCGGGCGCGAGGACAGCGACGAAGACCUGGCGCGAGGCCGGCGGAGAUGACGGCGGGGUGCGCGGGAGGCGAGACGGCCGGGCGCGAGGAAGGCG
rnacentral:lncRNA from 1 species